GCUGCCAGCAGAGAAGAACUAGGACUCCGGGAAAUAAAACGGAGUCUACCACUGGAUAUGGAUUAAAAAACAAGCAAAUGUCACUAUCAUCUAAGUAAUUGGGUAUAUAAAUGCUAGUCUAUCCUACUGCUGUCCACUGCGGGCAUUAUUGGAAUCAGCAAACCAUCGCUAUA